rnacentral:rRNA from 1 species
CCCUUAGAUGUUCUGGGAUGCACGCGCGUUACACUGAUUCGUUCAACGAGUUUAUGACCUUGCCUGAUGAGGUGGGGGAAUCUUUUCAAAUCGCAUCGUGAUGGGGAUAGAGUAUUGUAACUGUUAGUCUUCAACGAGGAAUUCCUAGUAAGUACGUGUCAUCAGCUCGUACUGAUUAUGUCCCUGCCCUUUGUACACACCGCCCGUCGCUCCUACCGAUUGAGUGCUCAGGUGAAUAGUAUGGACUGCAUCAGUGUUCGGUCUCCGAAUGUUGACGCGAGAAAUUCUGUGAAUCUUAUUGCUUAGAGGAAGGAGAAGUCGUANCA